AUUGAACGCUGGCGGCAGGCCUAACACAUGCAAGUCGAACGAGUGGCGGACGGGUGAGUAAUGUCUGGGAAACUGCCCGAUGGAGGGGGAUAACUACUGGAAACGGUAGCUAAUACCGCAUACCAUCGGAUGUGCCCAGAUGGGAUUAGCUAGUAGGUGGGGUAACGGCUCAGCUAGGCGACGAUCCCUAGCUGGUCUGAUAGGAUGACCAGCCACAAUGGAACUGAGUCACGGUCCAUGCUCCUACGGAGGGCAGCAGGGGGGAAUAUUUCACAAUGGGCGCAAGCCUGAUGGAGCCAGGCCGCGUGUAUGAAGAAGGCCUUCGGGUUGUAAAGUACUUUCAGCGAGGAGGCGUUACUCGCAGAAGAAGCACCGGCUAACUCCGUGCCAGCAGCCGCGGUAAUAC
rnacentral:rRNA from 1 species